AGUGAACGCUGGCGGUAGGCCUAACACAUGCAAGUCGAACGGCAGCACAGUAAGAGCUUGCUCUUACGGGUGGCGAGUGGCGGACGGGCGAGGAAUACAUCGGAAUCUACUUUUUCGUGGGGGAUAACGUAGGGAAACUUACGCUAAUACCGCAUACGACCUACGGGUGAAAGCAGGGGAUCUUCGGACCUUGCGCGAUUGAAUGAGCCGAUGUCGGAUUAGCUAGUUGGCGGGGUAAAGGCCCACCAAGGCGACGAUCUGUAGCUGGUCUGAGAGGAUGAUCAGCCACACUGGAACUGAGACACGGUCCAGACUCCUACGGGAGGCAGCAGUGGGGAAUAUUGGACAAUGGGCGCAAGCCUGAUCCAGCCAUACCGCGUGGGUGAAGAAGGCCUUCGGGUUGUAAAGCCCUUUUGUUGGGAAAGAAAAGCAGCAGGUUAAUACCCCGCUGUUCUGACGGUACCCAAAGAAUAAGCACCGGCUAACUUCGUG
rnacentral:rRNA from 1 species